GAUUUCUGACUUGGAUUACCUGACCGGCCAGAGUUAUCUGGUCAGUGUUGGUGUGAACCAGUCAUCCUCUCAGAGAGCAUUUCCUACCCUUUACUGGGCCGGGAUUUGUCAUCUGGGACAUUUACUUUGAAAAAAUUAGAGUGUUUCAAGCAGGCUUUAUGCUAUGAAUACAUUAGCAUGGAAUAAUAAUUUAGGACUUCGGUUCUAUUUUGUUGGUUUCUAGGACUGAAGUAAUGAUUGAUAGGGAUAGUUGGGGGUGCUAGUAUUCAGCGGCCAGAGGUGAAAUUCUCGGAUUCGCUGAAGACUAACUUAUGCGAAAGCAUU
rnacentral:rRNA from 1 species